rnacentral:lncRNA from 1 species
UUUUUUUUUUUUUUGCCCUUCUUCUUUUUGACAUCAACACCAAAAAGCACACUGUUGAGUUUUUACAAUGUCAUUUUUUUUUAAGGUAAAAGGGAGGCUGAAAAAUGUGCCACCCAAGAGCGAUCGAAAUAUUACAAAAGAAUAGAACCUCUAGGUUAUAAGCGGAGCAAAUAGAAUAAAGAAGAAAAAUUUUUAAGACUUGUUUGGUCUGCAAUUUUUUUUAUUGAAAUUUUUUUUUUAAAAAAAAUGAUCUUUAGAAAUAUAAUAUCUGAAAAAUAGUUUUGGUAUUUUUGAUUGAUCAUGAGAAAAUAGCAAUUUUCAGUAUGACUUAUAUUUGGUUGAACAUCUAAUUCUCUGAAAAAAGUUGUAUGAAAUACUUAUUAUAUCCAUAAUAAAGAAAAAGAUGUUAUCCAUAAAUUUUGAUGGCUUAAAGGUAUUUUUGAAUCAAAAACCCAAAUUUCCAACUGUUGUGGAAAAGUAGCUUUUCCAUGUCUCUAUAUUUUUUUCAAAUAAAUAUGAUAAUCUCAAUCCAAUAAGAAUGCUAUUUUUUUUCUCACUCGAAAACUAGACGUUUUUUUUUCUUUUUCCGAUGACCAAACUUUCUCUCUUUCUCUUCCAAAUGAGGUAUAAAUGAGAAAGGAGCACUCUAUUCUGGCGGCCGUUGAAUUAAAGGUCAGCACACGGCAUCGGUUCAUUCGCUGUGACCCCGUCCGAUUUGAGCUACCGUCUUCUCCGCGGUCAAGGGGAAGAAAACUCGCUAGUUUCUGUCAUCCAGAUGAGAAUGGAAGACUGGCCUCUAUGACAGAUAUAGCCAAAAAACCACCCUCUUCGUCUUCCGGACGAUGACAUCAACAAUGACGCCUCCCGGACGUAGAGUGAAAGUAGACAAGAAAGGUCGUCGUCGGGAAACCUGGAGAGUUGGAAGAAACAGGAAGAGUCGAUUCAAUACCUUCGCUCUCACUGUCUCUCUCUCUCUCACACACACACACAAACACACAUCUAUAAAUAUAGGAGUGAUGCUGGUUAUCGGCUUGGUUGUUUAUUUUUAAUAUGGAGGUAACAAGUCACAGUGGACGUCUACCUCCCCCUCCUCUACAGCAUUUUUGUCAGCUCGAUCGCCUUCUCAUAUCCUUGACAAAUAUUUGUUAGCGUCGGCAAUUCUCUGGUAUGUUCUUAAAUCUUCCCACAUUUCCUCUUUCUUGUUUUAUGAGUCUUUUUCUCUUCCUCUUUGUGCUAUGUUUUGUUGUUUGUGGGUGCUGCCCAUUUAGCCGUAUGAUGACGAUGAUCAUAUAAUGGGGUGGUAUAUGGGCCAGGCCUGCAACUAGAUGGUGUGAGCUGCAUGAUUUGGGCCAGUAUAUAUAUGCACACCAUCUGUUUAAACUUGCAUGGUUCAUUGAAGAAUUUGUUUGGUUUGUGGGAAAAUUGUUUUCUUACUGAAAUAUUUUUUCUGAAAAGAUGAUUCUUGAGAAUUAAUAUGAUGUCUGAAAAAAUAAUUUUAGUAUGUUUGGUUAACCAUAAGAAAGUGGCACAACCCAGAGUGGCUUAUGUUUGGUUGGACAUUUACUUUCCUGAGAAAGUUGUAUGAAAUACCUAUUAUAGUAUAAAUACAAAGAUGUAUUAAGAAAACAUAAAUUUUGAAGAGUUAUAUAAGCCCCCAAUAAUUGUAACAAAUGGACUGAUGUGUUCUAAACUUAGAAAAAGUUAAUCAAUCAGCUCUAUGGUUUACGUUGUUUUCUAAUUAAUCCAAUGUAGACACAAAUUUCAUGGUCAUCAUUAUCUGAUCAUUGCCAUCUCCUGUUCAAGGGAGCAUAAAACUAGGCUGGUCUGCUGACCUAACAACGAUGACACAUAUGUUCUCAUGUAUGAACAGUAAACUUAAACCACGCCACUCAUUAGUUUUUAGUCUAUAUGCAACAAUAGUCUAAUAAUCAGAUCGAUGCACACUAGCAAAUUAAGCUACGUGGUAUGAGUAAGCAGACCAUCAAAAGCCUCUCCUUUGGAAACAAACUUUCCAAGAGGAGAAACUUGUGAAGAUUUUUUUGAAAAAAAAUGAGGUAAAAUUUGUCAUCAUAACACUAGCGACCAUAAUAUAAUUUAGUGGUAAGAAUUUCACAACUUGUUCAUAUUGAUAACAUGAUCGGAGGGUUGUGAAUAAGAUCUAAACAUAGGAACUAUCUCUAGAGGAAAUGAGUUUUUAGAGAGAGGAUAUUUUUGCUGCAUCUUGAACCAAACAAUAGUAAGAACCUGCAGCAAUGGAGAACCCCAAGUCUAUAAUUCAAUAAUCAAGGUUUCAGAUAUAGUUAACAUACUAUCUAAAUUCUAAAGAGCUUCUUUGCCUGUUCUAUGUCUUUCUAGAUAUACUCUUCCUUACUAGAUAAGUUGACCUCUAGGCUUGCUCUUCUUUCCACCUCCUCUCUUCAGGCAACCCUAGCCAGUGAUGGAGGCCGAUGACCUGAGCUCUGAGGAACCCGAGAUGGCCGAGCCUGGAGAAAACGGUGGCUCGAGCACUCACGCUGGCCGGUCCUACGACUGCAUCUUCUGCAAGAGAGGCUUCUGUAAUGCCCAAGCCCUAGGAGGUCACAUGAACAUCCACAGGAAGGAUAGAGCCAAGCUAAAACAUCCCUCCAAUCAAAGCCCACUCCCUUUCGACAUCCCCAACAAGUUUGCUCCCUCGUAUUCUCCGACCCCUGAGAACUACCCAUCCAAGCCGAUGCAUGGAAGCCAUAAUAUUAGAGGGUGCAUGUCCACAUGGCCAUGGAUGGCUCCAAAUGAACAAGGCAUCCCCGGAAAUAGGAUCCUCGAUGAAGGUGGGCCGAGGCAGAUGCCUUUGUUCGUCGAGAGGCCAUCACGAGGAGAUGGUCCCGCUUCGGGGGGCUUCGGCGAGCGAGGAGAAGAGGUAGAGCAGUCGGGCUAUGGAGCAGCGGCAAUGGAAUUAGACCUUGAACUCCGACUAGGAGUACCAGCUGAACCAUCUCAUACUGUCUCGGCAGCAGGCUUCAAGGAGUUUUUGUGAGAGAGGAUGCUGCCUGCUUAUUGGUUGUUAGAUAGAAAGGUAUUGUUCGCUUCUCCCAUUACCAUCUGCUUCACACAAGGGAUGAAGAUUGACCUAAGAAAAGGCACUGCAUACGUAUAUGUUCUUUAAUAGCUCCAACGCUUGUGGAAAAUAUGCAUAGUGAUAGAAUGAUCUUUCCUACUUACCUAUAUGGAUUUAUGCUGCUGGAACUCCUCUUUGCUUUUAGGUUUCCAUUAGUUUAUGUUUUUUUUUUUUGUUGAGAUAUAUUAGUUUAUGUAAAAUCGGAUGCUAGCUCUUGUUUGUUCAUCUGGAGUUAGAAUUUGAGAACUGAAGAAGAAAACCAGCAAGUGAGCGAACGCAGUUAUGUUUACAUUUCAUUUUCCUAAUUCGAUUUUAUAUCAGCCUGAAAAAUAUGAACAGUGAGGGCAUGCUUAGAAUGGUCACAGUUCUGAAGGCUUCAAAAUAUUGUGAAACACAAGUGUUUGAUAUAUUUCUCAUCAUUUUCUUACCCUUAUUUAUGGUAUUUGAGGUGAAUUUGCAAGUUCAGCAGGGUUUCUCCCAUUCUGUUGGGAUACUAGUUGUUGCUACUACCUAUAUAUCCCUGAAAUCUCUUCCUAUUUUUAAUAUAUCAAUCCUCUGCAUGAGCAUUAAUUUAUUCUUCAGCAAAGCUCCAAGCAUUACCUACUCUCUCUGUCCUUCAUUUCCUUUCCUCUUUUCGACUUGCACAUGGUUACUCCUUUAGAAGGCAGACAAUGACCAGGUGACUCUAUUCCAAGACUUUAUUCAAAGCUCCAGCUUAAAGACAAUUAGGUCUGGGGUCAGGGACUGAAAUAGUACCAAGGUUUUGCCAAGUUGGUGCUCUACACAUGGGCAUCCAAAUCAGGGCUCUGUUGUAGAUUAAGUUCAGAGGCAGUGUGCAUGCAGUUGUCACCAAUGUUCCCUUUUUUUUUCAACUUUGAACAUGAUACCAUGCGAACUUUCUCUAUAUUGGCAACAAACAGCAGAAAUUAUUUGCCACCAAUUUGUCCUUUGAUUGAUCUGGAAAUCUUCUAUAGGUCACCUCUUGUAUCGGAAAGGGAUGCAUAUUAAAUGAAUGAUUCCUACCAUGUCCUUGAACGCUGUAACUAUCUAAAAACAGGAGAUAGGUUCAUGUGCUAGGGUCAUUCAGCAAGUGUGAUUCUCCUAAUGCAAUUAGAAUCACCAGGAUAGGAUAACUAUUUUAAUUCGCUUAUCUGGUGCGACCGAUGGGCUUUUUUUUCUUUACUUAAAGACCUAUUUUUUGGAAAAUAUUUCAUUUUGAAUACUGAAUUUUUCUUGAUUCUUCAGGUUCUUAUUCUACUUGCAUGGCUGCAAUCCUGUCAAACAUCAUCAUUACUGCAAUUUAUAAACAAGAUAAGGUACAAUUUUUCAGAUUAGCUUCCAGUUGUUAAAAAAAGUUCAGUAUCUCAUAAUCCAAUGAUACUUUGUUUUUUUUUUGGAUUACAUUGAUUCGACCUACUCUAUAUGUUACAAGAGGGACUGAUAAAAUGCAGUAAUGGAUUAGUUUGCUGCCUAACUUUGAGCAUUAAAAAUCUUUAUUGGUAUAAGUUUCAAAAUUAUAUGCAUAUAGAUCGUUUGUUUUGUGCUGUCAAAUACAAACUAUAUGCAGUAAAAGGCCUGUAUAUUUAUCUGAUACCUUGCGAUACCAUGGUAGGCAUCAAGUACAGCUCAUCAGCAUGUACAGAAUAUAGUCCUUCAGGCUAGAGCAAGUGUGAUAUGUUUCACAUAUGGAAGGAGACUUGUAGAUAAGCCACAGCCUAAUAGUUAAUUCAAGUAUCCAAGCAAUUAUUGAGUCCAAAUUCGCAAGUUUACAAACAACAUUACUUAACUAAUUCCGCAUUUUUGUUUGCUAUUAGUAUUUUAUCUCAAAGAUAUCUUUUAUGGUAGUCUUAAGAAUCUUUUCACCUCAGAAGUGAUGUUAUCCCAAAAGAAGGCUAUCCAGGAGUUCUCUAUACAGUGCAACAGGUGGUUUUUUGGCUGCAAGAAUAGGAGUUACGAAAAUAUAUUGAUAAUAUUUAGGAUGAUGAAGCUUAUAUAAGUUGCCGUGCCAUCUUAAAAUUGUUUACAGGAGAGCAUUAGUGCGUUGCAUUUCCUAUUUCUUUUUCUAGACCACUUUAGGUGUAGAUAAGAACACUAUUCUUUUUUAUUCCAAUCAAAAAAAUGAACACUAUUCUUUUUUUUUUUGAUGAAAAUAAGAACACUAUUCUUUUGAGAAAUAUCCUAGGUAUGAACACUGAAGAUGCCUUCAGGUUGCACAUGUUACUGCUGACAAAUCAAAAUACAAACCUUCCAAAUCUAUGAGUCACUUGGAGCACUAAAGUAACACUCCCCUUCCGAAUAGGCACAUUUAGCCUUCUGAGCUAUAAGUUCAUGACCAUCCAAUUAUGGCAUCACUAAUAUUAAUUUGGCCUUCCAUUACAAUUUCAAAACUUAAGACUUGCAUAAGUAAAUGAUCCAUUGGAGGAAACUAUCCUACUCCAUGCUUAUGCUUGACCAAAUUACAAGCCCAUAGCAAACAAUUGUUCGAAUAACAUGGGAUGCAAAUGGUUAGAACAUAGCAGGUGCUGGUCUCUUAGAGAGGAAUUCUGGUAGAUCAGAGUUGUGCAACAUGUAUCAGGCCAAGCCUGGAUUUCUCUUUCUUUAUGAUGUGCAGAGUUCGGGUUGUAUCUUUCAUGUGAAAGAAUGAUUGAUCUUCUUUAACGACAUCAAUUGUUGGAUCGCGCCUUGCAUAGAUCUCAAAUCACUCCAACCUUUCUCUUCCAUCCACUUGCAUAGAUCUUGAUGCGGCCAUUAAACGAUCUAAUGAUUGAUAUUGCGAAAGAAGAUGAAUCAUUCAAUAUCCCAGAUCAAUAAUCAACAUGCCGGGUAGGACUGGACUUGGUCAUGACCUAAUGGAGCCCACGCUAUGGGUUUCUUAACUGGCCGGACCUGUCUAAAGUUGGACUUGGAUCCUGUGACUCCUGUCAUUGUUUUAGCAAAUCUCUAAGAUCGGAUGCGGCCCAAGCAAGGCAGAUAAGAUCGCAAGGUCAGCUUUUAAAGCUAGGCCAGGCCCAUUAACUGCACUGCUCUGCUUGGAUUUUUUUUUUUCCUUUUUAGAAGCAUGCAAACAGUUCUUGGAAUUACAUGAAGCCAUUUUUAUUCAGAGUAGAAUACUUCUUAAGUUAUAAUGUAACCUAACGUGGAAGCAGCUCAUAUCAUAUUGUAACAUUAAGGCAUUCUCUAAUAAUUUGUUUAAGUUUCUUCACCAUUGGAGGAGCUUGGCUGGUGAGACUGGGUCUCAUGCAUCCACUAUCACUGAUUUCACACCUGAUGAAAAAUGAAGCCCUGAUAUCACCCCAUCAAUGCAUGGAUGAAUUAGAUGUGUUUGAGCCACAGAUACAAUGGCAAAACCAAUUGCUAUACAGGAAACUUUGUUUCAUCCAGAAGAUGGUUCUAUUAGACAGAGGAGGGUACCAACUUGAGAGAGAUAGAUGGCCUUAUGUCCAAUUCAUGAACCAACUCAUAUGCACUUGGAAGCUCAAUGUUUUCCACCAUCAAACUUCUCUUAUCUCUAAUAACUCUAGUUUAUAUUUGAAACCAGCCAAGGUUUUUUUUUUAAAAAAAAUAAGGUAAAAAACCAGCAUAUGGAAAGGUAAAAGGACUGCGCUGCGAGUUCCGCAAAACCCCUCGCAGAUGCCGCCGAUUCCAUCUGCCGUGUCUCCCAUUCGCUGCCUCGGGAAUUUCUCCCGUCUGCACGCGGAGACACCACUUUUUCUACCGCAGGCGUUUGCGUUUCUACUUUCUAGCUAGAAUUCCACUUGGUCCACCUCGGAGGCCAGGAUGCCUGAGAUUUUUUUUUCUUCUUUCCUCUGGUGAAAAGGAAUGGUGGGAAGUGUUAGCUUUCAUAAGUUGAGAUUAAAACCUCUCCUGGUGCCGGCAAUGAAAAGAUAGAUGUCUCAUCAGUGGAUUAAAGAUCCAUUGGCUGGUUUCCUGUUGUCCUCAACAGUUGCCUUUUUCUUGCUCCUACGCUCAUUUGAUUUAUCUUGUCUAAGCUCUCUUAAUUUGGAUGCCAGUGCUUGCACAGAUUCUUGUACAGAUUCUUCAACAAAAAGUCUCUAUGUUUAAACAAAAUCAUGGGCUGAAGUAGAUAAAAGGUAGAGCAAGUAAUACUAUUUAUUAUGGGAAAGCAAUUGCUUCUCUGAGAUUGAUCUUAUCGCUGAGUUAGUCAUCCAACUUCCGAUAUCUUCCCAAUUUUAUCAGAACUUCGGAGCUUCAAAUUAGACCCGGCCGCCUGAAGAUUUUAUUGACUGAUAGAAUCUUCGAAAGUCCAAACAGGCUCUUUCAUAGUAUUAUAAGAUGGAUACUAAUUCCUCCACCUCCUUAGCCAUGUUUGGUUGUGGGAUGGUGAAAUCUAAAAUUCCAAGAGAAAUCAAAGUAAAACUCCUUGUCUCAUGACUCAUGAAGUAGAUUUAUUCAAAAUAUUUAUACAGAAUAUAUUUAUACAUUGGACAUAUAUUAAAUAAAUCUUGAAUAUUUAUACAAAAUUUUGAAAAUGCACUAGAUUCUGCAUUGCCACAGAAUCUUAGGCUCUUUUAUAGCUUGUAGCAUCUAUUGUAAGGGCAAUAGAGUAGCUGAUUGGGUUGCCACUUAUACACGGAAAGACAACAUCAAUUCGGAAGCAGGAGAUUCAUUGCCGAGUUUGCCACAGAUCAUAUUAUCUGCAUGUUUUUUUCUUUUUUUUUGGACAGAUAAUUCAUACAUGACGCGUAUAAAUGCAACCUUUAUCUGCACGCUUUCAACAUGUCUAACUUUUUUCUUUUGUGCUUAGCCCCUUUCUUAUAUACCAAAAAAAAAUCCCAAAGCCAUGAUGCAUGCUUUCCGCAAAGUCUUCUUAGUUUCGUGCUUAUGGACCAGCCACAAGCCACGAACUUUUUAACCCGCCAAAAGUCAAUGGGGCUGGUUGGUGAAGUGGGUGCCAAAACGAAUUUGAGCACGCUGUAGCGAAGAUUAUUCGCCACCUUUAUUCAGCGACCUUUUACCUCCUCUACAAGCGGGUGCCAUAUAAAGCUCGUUUGGUUCAUGAAAAAAGAAGAAAAAAAAGUAUGGUCAACAAAAAAGUAAUGAGAUGCCUCUUGUUUGGUUGGAGUUUUCAAAGGAGAAAGAUGGAAAAGUUAUAUUUAUAUGGAAAUAUGAUUUCCACAUUUUAUGGAAAAAUCUUUUCCAUAAGAAACAUGGAAAAGUUAUUUUUUCAUGAGUCAGGAAUCACUUUAUUUUUAUUUUUUUUCAAAAAGACCCUUCAGCAUUAAAUAAGCAUCAAAGACCCAAUUUUUAUUAAGGGUAUGAUAAGAAUUAUACAUAACUUUCUCAGGAAAGUGGAUGGUCAACCAAACAUAAGCACUCUGAAAAUCUGUCACUUUUCCAUGGUCAACCAAACAUGUCAAAAAUACUUUUUCAGGCAUUCUCUUCCUAGGAAUAUGCUUUUCAGGAAUCAUAUUCUUAGGAGGAAAAAUGCUUCCCACGAACCAAACAAGCCAAUAAUAAUAUUCUUUGAGUUUUUUUUUGUUUUAAUAUAUAUGAAAAUCAGAUUUGAUUGCAGUUAUAUACAAUGAUAAGCAUCAUAGAUGCACCAAUCAAUCAGUGUACUUCGAUAUGCAAAUCACGAAUAAAACUAAAAAUAAAGAUAACAUAGUAAGGGCAUAAUUUUAUUCCGCUUGUUAUGUUAUGAGGUUAGCUGGGAUAAUAUAGCGAUCAGCACAAUAUGCAAACGAAGGGCAUUAUGGUGCCUGAAAAAUGUAAGAAAUUGUGUCAUGAUAUAAAUUUUGCAUGUUUCCUACUACCCUUAUGUUAUUAGUCCUUACCUUAUUUUUUAUUACAAACUAAUUUCAGUUUGGAUUAGAACUGUGUAAAGUUGAGUACGUUAUCCUAAUUUAUCUUGUCCAACCUAACCUUGUAGGAUCCUUCUUAGUCAUGACAACUCAACCAACGAUGAUUUAUUUGGACACAUGAUAGAUGUGUAACCAGCUAAAGAUGUGCGUCGCUAUGGCCGGCGUCACGCAAUGCACUUUAGAUUGUGCAACUUCUUUAAAGAAAAAAGAUAAAUUAUAUUUUUGGUCUUCCAAAUUUUAUAUUUUUUUUAAAUAGUUUUUUUAAUUAAGUUCCUCAACUUUUAAGUGUGAUUUGAUAUAGUCUUUUCGGUCAAUUCCGAUCAAUUUCUGGCAUCAAAAGGGUGUACAUAAUGCACAUGUGACAUUUUUUUCCUUACUGGCACCAAUAUCAACAUCAGUAAAUAAAUGAAAAUUUAGCAUAACUUUGUAAAAAAAACUUAUACUUUCUUGGUACAAGGCACCAAAGAGAACUCCUCACGGAAACAGGAGAGUUACCUCUUAUUGGCAAUGGUGAGAAGCAAUCUAAAAACUGAACAAGGCUAGCUUGUAUAUGUACUAAAAAUUUUGUAGGUGAAUAAUUGAUGUGGGAUUAUAUACAUGUUCGCAUGGAUUCUCAUAUACUAUCCUCAUUUUAAGCCAUGCCUUUCUCAUCAAGCUAAGGGUCCAAAUUUAUUCAAAUCAAAUUACAAACUCUAUGAUCAACCCAUGGUCAGUCUUAAUGAGCUCGUGCUGCAAUGUUUCCUAGUCUACAUUGGCCUGCAGUAUUUUCUAGUCUAUAUUUGUAACAACUUAGGAUCUUACAUAAAAUAGCUAGCUGAAACAUAUUUUUUUGAUUUUUUUUAGUUCUACAUAAAUAUCCAAAAACUUUUUGAUAAAUAAUAGAUACAAGACUAAAUACGAGAACUGCAAUAGCAAUAAGAAAAUCUCCACCGGAAAAGGAAUGCUCGGUCGGGAGGGGGGCAAAGUUGAGGAGUAAGGUGAGCUCCCAUAUGGAGUGGAGCUCCCAACAUGGGCCUUGCGCUGGUCCUCAUUCUUUAGCUUUUCGGGUGGGUGGUGCAGGCCUUGGGGAAGCUGGUGACCUGCAGGCUGCCUUCUCUGACUAUCAUUGCUCCUCGAAUGCGGAUCCAUCCAUGGGGGGUAGCGAGGCAGGAUUCACCGAAAAUAAGAGAAUCCAGCAAGAGGGAUUAAGAUGGAGGUAAGGGUUUUGGGUGGGGAGAAGCGGAUGUAUGAAGUUGUCCUGGGCACUUUGAGACCUGUUAUUUGCCGAUUCUAUUAGGUGUAUUCGUACUCGUGAUGUAUGAAAUACCCAUUUCAGCACAAAAAAAAAGUAAAGAGUUGAGGAGGGGUAAUUUAGGAAUCUUGGUGGGUUUCUCUUGGUCGCCAGAUAAUUUGGAAAUAUUGUUGGCAAAGUUAUGCUACAUCGUGUGUGCUGACAUUAGUGUUAGCUAGAAAAAAAAAUGCCAUGCGUGCAUCGUGUCUAAUUUUUUAAUAUUAAAAAUUAAUUAAAAUCUAUAAAAAAAUUAUAUUAAAUUAUUUUAUUAAAAUUAAGAGAUCUAAUUAAAACAAUUAUUAAAAAUUAUUAAAAAUAUUUAUAAAAUUGAGAGGAUCAAAAUUAUAAUUUACCUUAAAGAAAACAAGACAGGCGUUGAUGGCCCUAAAAAAGGCACACGUAAUGUGCGUAAUACGUGCAGAAAAUGUAUUAGUGGACGGUGGGUUAGAAACGGUGAUCAAGGAUUUUGUCCUAAGCUGGGGAGGGAGCAGUGUUUCAGGGACGUGGGCCCUGUCCUUUAAUUGAUGCUCUCCGCCUCCGACCUUCCACUCGAUGCUGCGUCCGGACUCGAGAAGGUGACGUGUUCCAACCAUCCUCCCACUUUCCCAUGCGCACGUUACCCCACUCCCCCACCCCAGCCCCCUUUAAUAAACUUGCAGAGAGAGGAUGGACGGAGAAAACCAGGAUCCCAGCAUCCAAACAAUCCAAACGAAGGCUUAAGAGGCAUAGCAUAAGUAAUCCAGGGAAGAGGAUUAAUGAAUUAUUUAUGCUGGUGAUAACAUAUCAAAACGGUGAGAGCGAGCGAGAGAGAAGAGGGGGAGAGGGGAUGACUGGAUAUUAAGCCACAGCAGAAGUAGCAGCUGCGGCAGCGGCAGCCUGGGAGAGCCGUGGUAUAUAUAUCCUCUACUUGCCACGAGCAGUAGAGUCAGAAAGCAGGGAUAAAUAAAGAUCACGGCCACAGCCUUCACAGGUUUACUUUUGAAAGAAAGCCGAGACACAGAGUCUUCAAACUCCCGAUCCAGCAGUUCAAGAAUUAUCGGUGCAUCUCUACAGUUUUGAAGGUGCGUUUUGGAAUUAGUCUGAGCUAUGAUUCUUCCCUUUUUACGUUUGGAUUUUUACUAAGGGUGCAACUGGUAGGGUUCUCGUGGUCUGAUUCAAUUCGUAGAGACGGCUUUCAGCUAAUCAAAUAUAAUCUUAUUCCUCUCCUGCUCUCCUUCUAUUGUGGUGGAAUAUUUUGGGAGAUCUGGUUUAAUCAACUGGUUUAACUUGAUCCCUCCAAGAAAAGAGAGGAAAUCUAAGGGGAGCUCAAAUUUUGGAAUGAAGUAGAGAUAAGCGAAAUGAUAAGCUUGCACUUGGAUCUAUAACUCUUUAGUUUCUUCCAUGAAGAAAUACUAGCAGGAAAGCAAGGAAUAGAAAAGAAAUUGGAAUCUAUAUCACAUGGUAGAGAAAUAAAUUGAUGAAAGAGUAGCAGAAGCGGCAAGCUAUAACCAAGAGACCAGAAAGUCUUUUUUUUUUUUUAAUGAAAUAAGUGACCAGAAAAUUAACUAGUAUAGUUUUCCUUGCUUUUGUUGUUCUCUUUGGUCUACUCAAAGAAGGAAAGCUGGCGAACCGGUGGUGGGCAGGCAGCGUGACCAUGGGAGGUGUCGACCGGGCCGUCACCUCCUCGACCUCGGCCUCUCCUCUCCAUCUCCGCAACCCCACCAAUUCCCACCUCAGUCCUCACCGCCCAGACCAAGACCCUAACCCUACCACCACCAACAGCAGCGGCAGCAACAACCACACAAGCAACGACGACGACGCCAAUGCAGAUGACCAGUCCCCUGCUGGUAGCCUCGAUGUCGCCGAGGGCGGAUCCACCGGCGGCGGCGCCCCUGGACGCCGCCCCCGCGGCCGCCCCCCCGGAUCGAAGAACAAGCCGAAGCCGCCUAUCAUUAUCACCAAGGAGAGCCCGAACGCCCUCCGAUCCCACGUCCUCGAGAUCGCUAGCGGGACCGACAUCAUGGACGCCGUCGCUGUGUUUGCUCGCCGGCGGCAGCGCGGUAUCUCCAUUCUCAGCGGCAGCGGCGUGGUGACUAACGUCACUCUCCGCCAGCCAGCAGCGCCGCCUGGGACCGUCGUCACCCUCCACGGCCGCUUCGAGAUCCUUUCCCUGUCCGGGGCCUUCCUCCCGGAGCCCUCGCCGACGGUUUCCACCGGGCUGACCGUCUACUUCGCCGGCGGGCAGGGGCAGGUGGUGGGGGGGAGUGUCGUGGGGGAACUCGUCGCGUCGGGACCGGUGAUGGUGAUCGCCGCCACGUUCACAAACGCCAUGUACGAGCGGCUGCCGCUCGGGGACGAGGAGGCCGAGGAGACGGAGGCGGCGCCACCGAGGGGAGCGGAAGGAAUGGCGGCUUUGCAGCAGAGCCCACCGGGAGGGAACGGAUCGGCGUCGCAGCAGACAUCUCAUGCAGGGUCGGCAGCGGCCGACCCGUCGUUGAUGCCGCCGCUGUAUAACCUGCCACCCAAUCUGCUGCCGAACGGUCAAAUGACACACGAGGUGUUCGGCGCUUGGGCUUCCGCGGCUCCUCGUCCUCCACCGUCCUACUAAUAUAAGUCCCUCUCUCUCUUUCUAAAUAUAAUUUGCCACGAAAGGGAAAAAUAUUUCUAUUGCUUUCCUUCCAUUAUCAAUGCUAUCAUCAUCACUGGUUCGGUUUGCUUGUUUAAAUGCUUGUGUUAUUUUGUAAACUGCGCAUGCAUUGCUGUAGAAUUAGACUGUUUCAAUGCAAUGUCACCUUUAUUUUCUAUUCCCAUCCAUGCCUUUGUAUAAGUUUCAAUUGAGUCUGUUGUUCUCUGCUGCUGCUUCUUCUUUAAUUAUUUUGCUAUUUAAUUCUAUAGAUCAGCCGACUGUCUUUAUAUUGGUUAUUAUUAUAUAUUUUAUUUCAUUUUAUUCGAUGGGUUUCAAAGCUAGAUCAGGAGAAGUUGGUUUUAGAAUUUCUUUUCCUUUCUUUUUCCGUUUUCUUUUUUUUAAAAAAAAAUUAAGAAGUCAGUUUUGUGGUCUUGGCUGAGAGGACCGAUGGAAGAGAGGAAAGAUGAGGAACCUGUCGGGUUCAUCUCCGUGGAGCUUUAAGGGGUGGGGUUGAGAUUUCGAGGAGUUAAGGAGCUUGAAUUUGGAUAGGCAUGGAGGCUGUGGUGGGGCUUUGAUGAUUGGUGUUUGAUAUAGCUUGGCUUUUUUGACAACUCUUGGAGUCUUUUGCAUGUCUUAUGCUAUGUUUCCGUCGAUAUCGAGUCUUAUGUACGCCCUCUUUCUCAAGAAAACAAGGUGGCCACAAGAAACCUUCUGCAUAUAUAUACCCAAAUGGAGACUCAUCAACCAUUUCUAUUAAGAAAAUGAAUAGGAACAGAUGCUCACUUUCUCUGUAAAUGAGUGCAAGUGUUAACUUGUGGUGCAACUUCUCAGGACCCAAUUACUUUUUGGAGUUUGGUUGAUUACCAUUUCCAUCUGUUUCUUAUAUUCGAGUGAGGUAGAUUGGCAACUGUAACAAAAGGCGAAACGUAAAGGCGAUAUAUUCCUGGAAAAGACCUAACACGACUCGAGUCAAUUGCGUCUUCGUCAAUCUAAUUCUUUCUUGAUGCAAGUAGGCGUGAGUCUUAGCUUUCUUGUUCACGUACUACUGUACUGCAGCCAACAGGCAUCUUUAUCAUAUAUUUGGUAUCCGGUGGACUUGUUCUUGUUUGUUCGCAUUCACAUGCAAUCGUUUGCAUGNNNNNNNNNNNNNNNNNNNNNNNNNNNNNNNNNNNNNNNNNNNNNNNNNNNNNNNNNNNNNNNNNNNNNNNNNNNNNNNNNNNNNNNNNNNNNNNNNNNNNNNNNNNNNNNNNNNNNNNNNNCAAAUUUUUAAGAACAUUUCCUGUGGUUUGUUUCAAUUAUGUACAUCCUUGUCUUGUUACACCAAAAAUGCAUCAGUCUAGUAAGUAGUUCUCAGAUUUAUUGGCUUUCUUUAGAGCAUCAGUCGCUCAACUUAGUUCAUUAAACUGAAAAUCCAUCAAAACCAUAUAGGUAGGUCAUUUGGCCAGAUAUUCUUAUUCUGGCUUGUUAACACCUUUGCCUGCUUGCUCUAUUCAUGCAUGCGUGCCUACUUUCGAAUAUUUGGAACAUUUUAAGCUGUGUAUCUAUUGUUGGUGGAAUUUGUUACUACAAAAAUACUUCUUCAUGGUUUAUACUUCAUCAAUGCUAGGAAAAAAAUAAGUUAAAGAACACUUCACCAAGAGUGAGAUUUGACUUCACCAAUGCAUGUAUUAGUAUGUUGUUCACUGUGGUUAGUUUUUUGUUUGAAUGGACUACUUUCCAUUUGAUUUCCUUUUUAGUUUCAAAAUAUUGGCCAUCCUCAUCUUCGUAUUACUUUAAAUUUCUCGAACAAUGCACAGACUAGUAAAAUGUUUGCAACUUCUAUCCCUUGCAUUUGAAAUUGGUUGUUUCAUGUUAGUGCCAUGCUCAACUGUUCAACAUCAGAAAUGGAAUGUGUUUAGCAUUCUGUCUACCUAAAAUUGAGGCCCUAAGAAUUUAAGGACCAUAUCCUUCCCUUGCACUGUCGAUGUCGAACUAUCAUAAAUGUAAUCCAUAAAUCAUUGUUUGUAAAAAUUCGGUCAUCUGUGGCUGAAAUAGCAGAUGGUUCUUGGAUUUUGAAUUAGUAUCUUCUUUCCUAUUCACAUCAUGCGGUUUCUAUUUUGUGUAAAGCAGUAUAUUAACAAUCUUCCUUCAUGGCCUGAAACAUAUAGAAUCUUGCCUCUCAUUUUCAUGAAUCAUAAAAUUUUGUCUUUAUAAUUAUACAGCCUUGGUGUAGGGAUGAGUUAAGAUUUAAAAUAUAUUUACCUUUUGGCAUAAUCUAUAAAAUGUUUGGAUCAAAAAUUCGUGUGACUUAUAUCUUGUAACUUGGAUUUCUUAGGUCAGAUGAUUCUUCUUCUUGUUUUUUUUUGGUUGUUGUAAGCCCUACUUUGAUUCGAAAGAUUGUUUAUUUUAGCACUUUUGCUCCCAUGAUAGUACCUACUAACCACCCUCCAUUCCAGUUAGUACCUAAAACCUUAUUUUUCUUUCUCUGAAGGAGUAUCUAAAGCCCAUUCGAUAUAAAAAAAUACUUUGUUUGGCUUAAUUAGCAUUAUUCUAUUUCAAAAAGAAAAAAAAUCAUUAAUUUGGAAAUAAAGCAUGAUAGCACAGGCAAUCUCAGAUUAUUCUUUUCUUUCAAGUAGUAACUUUGCUGAGUUCAUAAUAUUCUCUUCCGUAAUUUGAACUCUCUGUGACCAUUAAGUUAUAUGUAAUGGAUUUGGUUUCCAUUUGAGUGCACACUUCGAAUACUGAUUAACAAAAUCUUGUCCACACUGUGGGUGGCCUUUCAUUCUUUACAAAUAAGAAUCCAAUAAAUUCCAAGCGCAUAUCGCCCAAAUAUAGGUCUCUAAGCAUUACUGUUUAAUUAUUCUUUGUUAUCCUGCAGACUAAGGAAUACCGGGAAUGACUAGGAUAACAGUUAAUUCAAAUACAACGAGGGUUCCACCACCUUGUUUUGGAAAAUGAUUCUCUCGUACCAUAUUUUAAACGUAGAAUAUAUGUUAUUCAUCAGAGUUCCAAAUCCCUCUACUUGAUGAAUAUUAAGGCUUUAGUUCCAUUGCCUAGAUUGGAUGACUCCUCUAGCUGUCGAAGCUUCCAGUAGGAGGACAUGAAAUUGAUUGAUAUCUACAUCUCUAUCCCAAGUAGUCCCAUCGAAUGAUGUUCUACCAUGGGUUUAUCUUAGACUGUGCUUUAUGGACUCUGAUAUUUAAUAAAGCGACUCGACCGUUAAUGGAUCACUACUUGACUUCCCUAAAAUUUUAAAGAAAUUAAGGUGCUACUUGGAGCAUCGAUGGAUAUCGAUAUCUUAUCAAACCUGAGACAACUGAUAAUUAGCUUUGAAAUCAAAGCUCGGGUUCCGCCAUUUCUUCAUUAUUGUUUGGCAAGCAGUACUCUUUAGCCUUCACUUGAUCACAAAAAUAAUCUUAUCCUAUUAUGGCCUUGCAUGACUACAUGCGUGCAAUCAAGUAACCCCCCCUAUAGCUUUCCGACACUGACUACACGCAUGUAUGCGUGAAGGGUUCUUUAUUUUUUUUUGGUAGAAAGCAGCAUUCAUAUAGCUCUUAUAUGGGUACAGCUACCAAGUCAGAAACAAUAAAAUGAUACAAGGGAGAGGGAAUCUCAGUGGCAGUAGUCCAAAAAUACUCUCUAGAGUGCCGAGCAACAUAGAAGACGAUUCAAUCUGCAACUCUAUUCGCCUUUCGAUACACGUAUGCUGCCUGUAAGAAGGCCAAUUUUUUGACCAAUCUGCGAGUCUCACGAAUCAGUAGAUGACCAUCCCCAUAUCGAUCACCUUUCUCUAUCCAAUCGGUCACCAUAGAAAAAUUUCCUCGAUGUCUACAUCACCAUGAAGGGUUCUUGAUUCCAUAAGUACGUAGGACCGGGGAAUAAGUUUGUACGUUUGGCGGAUAGGGCAUCAACCAAGGUGCCGUCCAAGUUAUCGCGUGCAAUGGCCUAACUCUUUGUCCUGCAUGGGUGGCUUGUCCCGUCUCCCAUUCCAUCCAAGUGGCAAAAGUCUUCAUCUCCUCCCCCAUGGGCCAUCUCAAUGAAUGAAUUGCUCCAGAAGUAUCCAUGCCUUGAAUUGAAACGUUUUCCGAUUAGGCCCGUGCAAAAGACGUGAUAGAGGUGGGUGCAAAUUUUUGAUUAAAUUUGAAUAAAUUUAAACUCUUAAUUUAACGUUAAAAAAUUUAACCGAAGAAAAAAAAUUAAAUAUUUAUAUAGAACCAAAAAAUUUAAAUAAUAUUUUUGAGCUAGUUUUUUUUUGAAUAAGAGUUAUGAGAGAGACCAGCUCAUAGUGGUAUGAAAAAUUAAAGUUCAUAUAGAUUAUUAGAGUUACUUCAAAGAAACAGGAUUCUUCCUGUCCUCGAGUCCUCAUUUUGCUCAAAUGAUUGGUCAUGCUGUGGGAGAAAAUGUUGCUGCAAAUAUUUCCUUUUGUGAAUUUAUUAUAUAAUUUAGCUAUAUUAUCAUAUCUUAUAGUUGCAUUAUUAUAUUUUUUUUUAAUUGGAGGAGAUUAAUUUGCAGGAUCAUUCUAAGAAUUGCUAAGGACAUAUUGCUGUGUGAAGGUAACCGUGCCCUUUUUCCUUCAUUAAUUGUUUAGAGAUCUCAUGUUUGGUAUGUUUGGAGCCAUUGGCUGCAUCAAUGAGAGGAGGAGGUAACCAUGCUAAGACUGAACAUUUUGGGUCAAAACAACUGCAACGGAAACCAAUGAUGCCGUAUACACCUUUCCAUUUGACUUAUCUAAUACAGUGUAUGGGGAUACUUACUCCCAAAUUGUCCCACAUUGCGGCCUGCUACUUUCUUUUCCCAGAGACAUGAUAGACUAUUUAGGUUGGAACACAGAGGAAACUGUUGUCAGCCAUCCGAAACCAAAGGCUCAUUUCGUAAAGUUGGUGGUUUUAUUUUAUAUUUGUUUAUGUGAGCAGCUUUGGGCCUGCAUGUGGAUAACAAGCCGGGCUUUCGUUUGGGACAAGAUAUUCUUUACCCGCCCAAAAUCCUAUGCAGAAUGGGCUAAUCUCCCGUUGAACUUCACGGUCAAUUUCUACUACAAAUUUCUACUGCAGAAUAGGCUAACAUCAGAAAUCAGAUGGUCAUAAUUUCUACUGCAAAUUUCUCCAUUGGCAAUUUUUUUUUCUUUCUAAAUCCCUCAGCGAAGCAUUCACCGAGCCUGUAGAAUAGAAAAGUCUACGUCGAACGUUUUCUUGCAUUAUUUACAUGCAGACUUGGCUAUACUCUCACAAGACAAGCUAUCUGUUUGAUUCACCAUGGUUGUAAAUUAUGUGUGGACUUAAACAGUCUUAGAUAUGCUUUGAAUUUGAAAUAUACAGCGGUUAGUCCGUCUGACCGGUCGGUUAGGUCAAAUGAUUUGAUUGCCUGCUAUAGUCAUCUGCUCUGUUCGGCAACUUGAUCAAUUGCUUAAAUUGGUAGCUUGAUCGGAUUCUCUGUACGAUAUUCUGGUCAACUAAUUUGAUCAGUAACAGUGGAUGAAUUCAGACCACAACAAUACCCCCCCUUAUGGAAGGUUCUUUGGAUCUCACAAAAGCGAUCUCUACCGGCUGCGAAUCCCAAGGGAAAAAGCUAGAAAUCAAGCAAAGAUUGUGUUGACCGAACUCCCAACGUAUGCCCAUCAACCGCGGACCCCACACGCAGUGUACAUGCCGAGUCACCUCAUCCUCCCAGUCCCUUCCUACAUCAACCAAAAAGAGUGAGUCGUACCCACCCAAUUUCCCGGCUGGUGUUGCAUGUAAUGUGUAUGCAAGAAAAUGUGGCAGUCCCUUGCUUAAUGAACAAGUCAAAAAGGCUUUAAGAAGUCCAUCAAUUGAUUGAUUGAUUGCUGCUAUUUCUUUACCUGGUUAUCGCCCUUUGGUUGAAAGGAAAAGCAAGUCCAUCGCUGGUUAUUGCCAUUUCGUUUUCCUAUGUCACAAUCCUAAGCUAUUUGAGGCUUCCGCAUAGACUUCGCUUAAAUUCUGAGUCACAGGCUUGGCAAAGAUAUACAUGUAAACGUAGAAUAAAUUAUCCUUUCAACAAAGUAUCUACCACGUACCACAUGGCACUGCCUGGUUAGAUAACUUAAUCAUAGCAAGCAUUUCAUAGUGAUUAGCGACAUGGCGUUAAACGCCAAGCAGUCGGCAUCUUGCACGACCUUCUCCUCUUCGUUUCCCAUUCCAUGUUCAUUCCCUGUAAUCCAACUGUAUCAAAGCGCGUCCAAGGGAAGCCUCUCAGAAAACGGCAACCUCACUCCCUCCCUCCUCUUAUACCCCGCGCGGCCGCGCCUCCCCUCUCGCCGCCACCCCACCAAAUGAAACACCAACGAUAGCGUUAACAGAUCCCGAAACAACCGCUUAUCCCGGAAUAACAUAUCCGCGUCUAUGGUCGUGCCGAAGCCAUGGCGGAACGGUCCGGACCGCGAGUGCCUCGACCUCCGGCUCGACGAACCGGCCGGCGGGGGGAAGGCCCCGGGUAUCGGGAUCCUUGCCUUCGAGGCCGCGGGCGCCAUGUGCAGCCUCGUGUCGCUCCAUCGGUCCCUCUCCGAUCCCGAAAUCCUUAAACUCCGAUCCGAAACGAUGCGCUCCCGGGGCGUGGCCUACCUCAACUCCACCGACCAAGCCCUCCUCCUCCGCCUCGCCUGUGCCGAAUUCGUCGCCGACCUCGACCGCGCCGCCGCCGCGGCCUCUCGCCUCGCUUCUCGGUGCCAGGGGGCCCUCGCUCAAAGGUUCGACCGGGUCUACGCCAACCUCAAGGCCGGCUCGGCCUAUCUUGACCGGAUCCCUGUGAGCCUUAAAGGGGUCGAGAAAAGGAUGAGAAGCAUGGAGCGACACGUCGCGGCGACUGCGAGAUUAUACGAGGAGAUGCAGGUCCUGGGCAUGCUGGAGUCGUCGAAGCGGAAGUGGGACCGGUACAGCGGGCCGAUACCGUUGCAGAAGCCGAGCAAAGCGGAGUCGGUGAAGCUCGAGCUGAAGUCGCAGCGCGAGAAGGUCUUGAGGCUGAGGAAGGAGUCGCUGUGGAACCAGAGCUUCGACAAGGCCGUCCGCCUCAUGUUGGAAGCCGUCUGCGGCGUUUUCGCUCGAAUCUGCGCCGUCUUCGGCCGGUUCGUACCGACGCUGCCGCCGGUCCUCGUUUCGCCCAGCGCAUCUCCUGCCAGUUUCGUUCCGGCCCGUCCCAAGUUACGACUCUAUCCCCGGUUCCCAGCCAAGCACUCGUCAGGUCCGCUUGAGAGACCGGCGGUAAAGCACCUAAUUAUCCCAAAUUCCUGCCCCAUAUUCCGCACCAAAGAAUCGGAGCCGAAACACUGGAGCAGGUUACUGCAGCCGGCACCGAACACUGUGGGUGGUGCCGGGCUAGCGUUGCGAUACGCUAAUGCGAUUGCACUGGCUGAGAAGAUGUUGACGACAAGGUCUAACUCCGGCGAACCGGAGGCGGGGGAGGCGGCGGCGAGGGAGGAGCUGUACGAAAUGCUGCCUGCUGGGCUCCGGGCGAUGGUGAGGUCGAAGCUGAGGGCUUGCUGGAAGGAGCGGGGGCCGAUGGACGGAAGGUUGGCCCAAGGGUGGAAGGAGGCGGUGGAGAGAAUACUGGCAUGGCUGGGACCGGUGGCAAGUGACACGAUUCGGUGGCAUGAAGAGCGGCACAUGGACUGGAGGCAGCGAUUCGACCCAAGUCCGAGAGCGCUGAUGCUUCAGACGCUGCACUUCUCCGACCGGGAGAAGACGGAGGCGGCGAUCGUCGAGGUUCUGGUUGGGUUGAGCUGCGUGUGCUGGUACGGGGAGCAGCGCCGUGGGUCCUUGCGGGUUUCAUGCAAAGCAUUGGGCUAGCUUGACGUUGUUAUUUGACAUCUGGAUGGAAGCUUGCAUCAUGCCAGGCUUAACCUGUACCGAUAUCAGGUUCAAGUCUUGAUGUCAAUGAACAAAGUUUAGCUGAAGUUUGAGUACUAAAUUAUCGACGCUUUGGCUUGCUUAUACUUAGAUAGAAAGGGUGAUUUCAUGUUUGCCUGUGAGCCUACACUGAUUUUUUGUUCGGGGCCAUUGUACACAGUUUGAUUCAAACAGAACGGGUUUUAUCUUUCUGUGAAUCCACCGUUGGAUCAUCCACAGAUUGCUUUGAGAUUUGCUCAUAUGCUUUGAGAUCUGUAAAGUAGGUAAUCCAAUGGUGUAUUUAUGCAAAGAAAGGUGAAUCUAGUCAUGAUUCAGAUGUAAGUUAGGAGUUAUUCUCAACUGUUUGUUGAGAAAGACCAAUUGGUUAUCCUUCUCUGAUUCAUAUUUCUUAUGUUUGCCCCGGACGGUUGACUCCGUUUGCGUUGCGAACGAAAGCGGCACAUGGCCGGCCGUCACCAUCGCUGAAAUGCUUUGGAUAUUUUAUAACAUAUGGCUGAUUGAGAGAACGAAUCAGAUGCUUGAUUAUUUUACAUGAUGAACUCUUUAUUAUACAUGAUUUUUUAUUUUAAAAAAACCAUGAACUCUUCUUUUUCUUUGUUUUGAAAUUCUUAUACGUAGAAAGAUUGGCCUAAUUAUGGAUGCUUAACUAAUAGGAAAAUUAAGUUCUAUCAGCAUCAAAAGUAAAGCUGGUAUGCAUAAUUGGAAAAUCACGAGUUGGAUUAUCGGUCCCAUUCAUGUCUGCCUCCUUUUAUUUGUUGUAAUAUCAGCAAAAUACUCAAAGGAAAAUGAAAUUAUUAUUCCAUACAUUGCCUAAUUAGAAUUUCAUUGAUUGGUUGUCUAUGGUUACCCUUCUUUUUGAGGUCAUGCAGCUAAACCAUGCAUGUCUUUAGCCAUAUGAAAUAUAAUGAUUCAUCGUGGUUUCAGAGGACUUUUUAACAAUUAUCUCAUUUUAACCCAAUUUAAAUGGAAAAUUCUAACUUUUCACUGCAUCCAUUUAAUUUUAUCUAGGAAAAAUGUACAAAAGUAUACUAAAGAUCAUGCCCAAUUAUGGUAUCUAGUAAGAAUCAACCCAUUGGUAUGGAUACAUGGAGGUAUGCUUUAUAUGACAUAAUUCCUUUGAUUGUUCUCUUAGUGGAUUUCAGGUGAGCAUCAAAUUCACCAUCCACUUGGCAUGCAAAGCAUGCCGUAUAUAUGCAGAUGGUUAGGGACAUGGGAGGUCUGCUUUUUGCGACAAUGCUGAUGACAAACCUAGCUUUCUUUCGACUGUGGGCAUUAAAUAUGCCAUGUGGCAAUUGAUUAAAUGGUUAGGUAUCUUAAAUAGUUAAUAGUUAACUAAUAAAUUCAAAAUUAUGGAUCAUUUUAUGAGGUCAAACUUCCUACCAAUCCAAAUGAAAUUGUGAAUUUGCCAUAGUGGUGCGUUCGCCACCUCCCCUAUCAAACAGCCAUAUGGCGCUGGCUCCUUUCGUCUACGGUCAAGAACCCCUUGGAAGCCCAUUUUUAAUGGAUAGGAAUCUAACUAAAGCCCUUAAAAGAAGAAGGGGUGGUGCAGUAAUUUCGCAUACUAGCCCUUUGUCUAUAGAAGUUUCACACAUGUACCGGUGCCGUAUGUAGUUUUCUAUUUUCCGAUCUUGUUGGCCGUAUUCAUAUCUGUCGAGUGUGAGCUGCAAAAAAUUUUUUUUUUACGCGUAGCCUGAAAAAUAGGAUACCCACUUUGGGCCCUGUAGUAGUUUUUUGUUUUUUUGUUAAGGCAAACGAGUCAGACUAUAUGAGUACGAACACAUCCAAUAAAAUCAGAAAACAACACAUCACGAAAUAUUCUAGUCAACACUUUUUUUCGAGUCUAUAAAGUGCCAUCAUAGUGAUUGGCUACGUAAACAGCCAUUUAAUCUACAGUAUUAGUGGCCUCUCUAAAAUAUGUUUAGCCUGGAACGCCAUCCGGUCCGGCCCAUCUAUCAAAGCAGGUCUUUUAGAAAAUAUGGACUAGAGCGCGGGCCGGGCUCUCGCCGACCCUUCGGCCUUCGUACGGCGCGGCACGGUUUCCUCCGGACGCAAACUUAUUUAUAUUCUUCCCUCGAUACCCUGUUUCUCGUCCGCAACCCACUCCCCCUCUUUUCUCCCUCCUUCCCCACUGCUCUCGAAACCCUGGACCUCACGAAGCCCCAAGUUUCUUUAUGAUAUCACCCUCGAAUCCGCUCGGAUUCGCGUAUCUUCCGCUCUCCGUAUCUCUCCCGGAGGUUCUCUGCCCCCGCUUCCGCUUUUGGGAGACGUUGGUUGAUCGCUGGAGACAGCGAUCAGGGUCUGCGCUGUUUACAUCCUUGUUGUCGACGACGCCAUUAGCAAGGUGCGCGACGGGUUCGUGAAUUUCGGGUUCGGAGAGAAUGUAUUGAACGAACUCCCAUUGGUAAACCCUCUUCCUCAUUUUGUUCCAAGAUAAGUUAAAGUUUUUUAACUGAUCAAUUUGUUAUCAGGGUUCAUUUGUCUUCUGGCAAGCUAUUGGAAUCAAAGAAACUAAAAUGUUAUUUCCUCUUUUGAUUUUUGUUUUUUGUUUCGUUGGAUCUAUUUAUGCACUAAUUUUCUCCAAAAACAGGCUAAAUUUUCCAAUCCGAUCCGCUUUAAGGGUUUUAGUUGUCUUCUGGCAAGCUAUUGCAGUCAAAGAAACUAAAAUGACUUUUUAUUACCUUUUCUUGCAUUAUUGUGGUUUAACAUCCGCAUGGAUACCUUUUUAUUUCCAGAAAAAGGCUAAAUUUCGUCAAUCUGCUGUGGUUUAUGGUUAUUAGUAUCUUCUUGAUAAGCUAUUGGUCUCUCUCUUCUUUUUCCCAUCUACGAGUCUUUUGAUUUUUCACGUAAUAUCUGUAUGUACGAUUUUUCCCAGUAAAUGCCUUUUUUUGAUAGAAAAGGCUAAAUUCUUUAAUCUGGUAUAUUUUUAGGGUUUCAAUUGUCUUCUCUAGGCUAUUCGGACAAGAUUUAUUUUUCCUUGUUUUUUUUUUUUGGGCCUUUUGGCUUGAUCAUGGCGGAAAAAGAAAAAAAAAUCUAGCUAUGGGAGACGAAGAUGAUGUAAACUGGGGCUGUAAAUGGAACAGUGGAGAGGUCAUCCGUCCAGAAACCUGCUGGACCGAUCACCACUGUUCAUGCCCUUAAUGUAUACCAUAUCAAGGGCCAAUAGAGGAUUAUGAGACCCCAACAGCUGAGAUGCUUUUUCUGCCAGUGUGCUCUCUGCCUUCGUUGAUCAUUUGACCCAGAUGCAUUGUGUUCAAGUAAAAACCUCCCUUCUUUUUGCGUUACACAUGUAAUUUAUUUGAUUAUUUUUUCAAAAAAUAUGGCAAAGUUACACAUGUAACUUUGCCAUAUAAUUAUGCACCAUGACUCUUGUGUGAGCUUUAGUACUAAUGCUAUCAAGGUUUCAAAUACUGCAGAAUGGGGCAGUACGUAGUAUGAAUGUUACUGUAGUAUUCUGGUAGGUCUCCUGCAUUGGUACACAGUCCUGCACCAUGUGUUCAUACAUGGUACCAUACCAUUUUGGCAAAAAAUCGGUACAAGAUUGUGUACUUGUACUUGAAAUCUUUGAUGCUAUGUUAUUUUCGCAGUGUACUUUUCGAUAUAGAAUAAAACCUACUAUCUUGUUCCACCGAAUGUGUCACAAUAGCUUGAGACUCAUUUGCAUGUCACCUGCUUCCUCAUUAUGCAAUACUUGCUGAAAAUAUAAAUUACAUGAUACUCUAUCAUAAACAAAAAAAAUAAAAUAUUAUUGAAGCUUAGAUGACCAAGAAACUAUGAAGCAUGGAUACCAAUGCAAGAUGUGUGUGUGUGUGUAUACACGAUACGAUUAGGGCUGGAAAUGGGCUCGAGCCGGCCCAAGGCCCAUUUGGUUGGGUCGGGCUUCGAGCUAGGCCCGAAAGAAUGUAGACCGGGUUUGAGCUUAAAUGUAGAGCCCAUUUGUUUUUCGGGCGGGGCUCGGAUAUGUCAAGGACUAAAUCCGAAUCAAUUUAUUUUUGUAUGUUGUUAUUUAGAAAGAAUAAUGAGAAAAUAAAGGACAAAUUAAAAUGGGUUUAGCUGAGAAUAAUGUAUCAUGUAUCAUUUAUUUUUUGUUAUAGGAGAAAAUUCAAUUUUUAGCUAGCUCAUUUACUUGUGAAGCAAUAUUAUGAAAAUGUUAAAUUUCAAUUAGGUUCGGGCGAGACAUAUUUUUUGCCCAAAUGGGUAAAUUCAGGUUGGCCCAAUCAGGUUCGGAUCGGGUUCAGGCCUGGGCUCAGGUCGGGCUCAGACCUGGAUUAUCCAAAAACUUUCGGGCCUAAGUCCGACCUGGCCCACUUCACUACAGAAAAAGUUGGCUAUCCCGACAUCUAUAUGCCGACGCUAGGUAGAAGUGUCGGUAAUUUUGGCUCCAACGCCAAAAUUUGCCAACGCUUCUAAAUAGCAUUGGCAGGCAUGAUAUUACGACGACGCUAGAUAGCGUUGUGCAAAGCAUGACGCUUACUAGUAUCGUCGGAGGCCAAAUGGGGAAAGAGGGAAGUGAUUAGACGACGCUUAAAAGCGUCGUCGGAGUCCUAAUGAGCCGGGACCAAGGAUGACACAUAUAUAUGUUAUUGUUGGAGGCCAAAUCUUGCCCCCAAGACGACGCUUUAAAAUGCAUCGUAGGAGGCUUAAUUGCCCCUAAGACGACGCUUUAUAAAGCGUCGUCGGAGGCUCAUUCUCACCCCCGGCCCCCACCCCCAUCCACAUAAAUCCUAAUCGUCCCCCCUCCCGAUCCCUAACCCCUCCAGCCGCUCCCCUCAUGACCCCUAACCCCUCCAGUCGCCUCCCUCCUUAUAAAUCUCUAAUCCAAAUCCACCAAAUCGUCCUCCUCUCAGAGCCAUGGCCAUGGUCCCCCCUCCCUCCACCACCAUCCCGCCCUCGCCUCUUCCUUCUCUUCGCCUUCCCUCGUGCGACCGUCUAGGGUUAGGGUUUUCCAUGGUGUUUUCCCUCUUCGAUGCUCCCAUGGCGAGGUCCCCUCCCCCGCCUCUUCCUCUUUUUCUUCCUCGCCUCCGGUCGAUCAGGGACUGCCCCAGGAAGCUGUCCUCAAGGCCAUCUCCGGUGAGCCCCCCAACCCCUUCUCCCCCAACUCUAAUUUUUUGCUGGUUUUGGUUGCAGAAGCGGAGAGGGUUGAAGGAAAUGGAUAGCAUGGACAGUGAUUUGGAAUAGUGAUGGAGAUGAAUAAGAAAAUAAGAAUCCGAAGCCAGGGGUGGAGAGAAAAUAAGAAAAAAGAGGAAGCAAAGAUCGGGCGGUGGAGCGUUUGCGAUGCUUUUGUUUUGAGGUGUUCUCCUCCCAAGAUGCCCUAAUCUUGGCAUCUUGCUGUUUCUCGCUUAUUUUUCUUCCUUAAAUCUUUGGCUUUUUGUUUUCUUUAAUCUUUUUGGUUGUUCUCUCAUGCGGAUGGAGAAGUGGUGUGGCCCUUCCAAUCCUCGAGCUCUUGUACAGAUCUCCAAUCCCCAUUUUAAUGACAAGAAAUUCAUCGAAUGAAAUUAAAAUGUGGCUUCUUUAAUACAUGUGAUAACUGUGGCUUCUUUAAUACACUGUGUGACUGUCUAGGGUUAGGGUUUUUAAAUAAUUUUUUUUACAAAAUAAUUAUAACGACGCUUAUAAGCGUCGGCAGAAAUCAAGAGAGCCGAUGCUUAUAAGUGUCGGCAAAGGCCUGAGCGAGCCUGACGCUUAUAAGCGUUGGCAAAGCUUCGGUUUUUACUGACGCUUUUUGAAAGCGUCAGCAAAAAAAGUUUCCACUUUUAGUUUGCCGACGAUUUUGCGACGCUUUUGAAAGCGUGGGUGCCAAAAUUACCGACGCUUAUAAGCAUCGGUAUAGGCUCUGAAAAGCACCGGAAAAGACUUUUUUUGUAGUGCUUCCAGCCCUAGACACGAUAUGCAUACAUUGGUAUGAUAAAUAUUGAGAGAAAAGAAAAAGAAGGAGGAAAGAAAAUAAAUCCUUCUCCCUCAUUGUUGAAGGUAUUGGGUAAGCAUAUCAGGUGUAUCCAACAGUAUCCAAAGUCUUUUUUUUUUUUAAAAUUCAGAAAAAAGGAUACAUCAAAUAUGUUUGCAAGACCUAUCUUAGGAAGCACUAAGAAGUAUUAGUAUUUUGAUACAUGUCCAAUGCUGACAUGGCAUACAACUAGAAAUGUCCUUGUUUCAUUGUAAGGAAAUAUUUUCUUAUGAUAGUUAGAAGAUACAUGUCAAAUAUGUAUCGAUAAAUCAUGUGCUCAUUUGACACUUUGGGUCUGUUUAGUCCUCUGGAGAUUUUUUGGAAAAGGAAAAAGAAAAUGGAAAAGUUUUCCCAAGAAAAGGAACAGUAGAAUUUCUUGGUUGCCUGGGUUAGCCAAAUCAGGAAAACAUAUUUUUUGUAUUAGUUUAGCUUUCCUACCCCUCAAAACAGCCAGAAUAUUUGAUUUUUGUAAGAACUUCUGUUUUCUAGGGCUUUAUCUAAUGUCCAAAGCAAUUGAACAGAACCUUGGAUACUCAACCAAGUUCUUUGGUUGAGGCAUUUGAAGAUGGGUAGCAGGUUGUACCCUUCCAUUUAUGAAUUCAACCAACCAUAAUGAUGUUUCAGCUUGUUCAAGAACGUAGGUAUUAAAAUAACCGUGUUAAAUAAAAUGUACAUGAUGUUCUCCAAUUUAGUAGUUUUGAUGAGCAAUAUAUACUAAAAGACCUUAACGAAUAUCACCGGUCAUGUUCUCUUGCAUAUGAUAUUUUCAAGUAUACAUGUAAUUCGGUUAAAAUCUUUUUUGUACGUUCCUGUAUCUUUAUUUUUCCUCUUCCUGAGUUCAAUGCUUGGAUAUGUGUGGACCCAAUUCUUGUGUUUGUGUCCAUAAAAUACUGUCUAAUCUGAAUUUGGAGUUAUUGCGAAGGAUAUUUGGUGAAAUUAUAUAUGCUAAUGUGAAGAACAAAACUAUGUCAGGGAGAAAUGCAUGCUUAUGAAAAAAUAUGACGCAUGAAAACAUAACAAUAUGUCAUUUUCGAAGUUUGUUAAAAAAAUGAAGAGGGCCGACCAUUUUUGGCUUUUAUCUGCAUAUAUUUUCUUUAGUGCAAAUGAAAUGCCAAGUGCAACAAGAAAGCCAUUGCUUUGGCACAACAAAAUAAAAUGUUGGGUAGAAUUCUGUUAUGUUUCGGCAAUAAGCUUUCAGUUGUCCCAAAUUGUUGGAAUCUCUUACAGAUUUAAAAGCCUGAGCUUCAAUGUGACACUAGCUUUAGCAUCUGGUGGAACUGAAGCUUUAAGCAUGAAUCCUGUACACUUCCCUGCUGAAGCUACCAAAUUAGCAAGUGAAUAUGCAAUAAGUACUAUCUGAGAUCUGAUGUUGACUUGAUUUCAGUGAACAGAUAACACACAAAGCACGGAAAAGAAUGCCAUUUUUAUGUGAUUUCUUAAAAAUGCUAUUUUUUCUGCUUUUUUGUGUGUGUUUUUUUGGAUAUUUACCAAUAGUUUGUCCUACUCUAGUAUCACAUAUGAGAGUAAAUAUGUAGUUUUUGAUGGUUUUAUCCCAUGAUUUUGCCAUCUUUGAAGCAACAAAAUUUGCAUGGCUUUUGCACUGCAGUUGAGCCAACCUUUAUGACUUUCUGUUUUCACUCUACCCUUUUCUUUUAUAUUGACAUCCUCGUAGAAACUUGUUAUUUGCAUUUGCCUGCCAUUUGAACUCAACUAAACAUUAAUCCCAAAUUAGUUUGGGUUGGCUAUAUGAAUCUUUUUUCCUUCAUUCCGUUUGAUUUAGCCCAUACUUUCUAAAAGAUGUUUAAAUAUCAAGUCAUUCAUUAGUACUUCAUCUCAUAUGAUUUUUGGUCAGCCUCUUUCCCUCUUCAUUUUUUUUGAAUGUAUUAAAUCACCCAUAGGUACUUGUGUGGUUGUGCAUCCCUUGGUAUAUCUAAGCCAUCUAAGUUGUCCUUUAUUGAAUUUGUCCUCAAUUGAUGCUGCCUUUAUCCUUUUACUCCGGACUUCAUUUUUUAUUUUAUCCUUUUUUUGUAUUACCACCAUUUUUAUUUCACCUGCUAUUUUCUCCUACCAUGUUUUUUUUUUGCUGGUCACCCUCUUUAGGGAAGCUAUAGAGCUGCAUUUUCAAUUUGAGUUGCCCAUCUGGAAACACUCAUUUUAACUUUUAUUGUGGGCUGCUGAGGAGUUGGGACUUUUAAUUUUUGUUUUCAAUGAGCCCUUUUUCCAAGAAGUUCAAAUGCUAUGAGUGUUGAACUAUAGUUUGGCCCGAGUUGGAUUCGCCAAUAACGUGCUCGGUGUUUUAGUUCGCAGGCAUGAUACCUUUAGAGAUGACAUUAAAAAAGAAAAUUCCCAUUGCUCAUGGAACUUUUGGUGAUUUUCUUUGUAAAGUGGCUAAAUCGAGCAUUGUAAAUUAGUUUUCCGUUAACAAUAACAAUAGUUAAAUCGGUUUUAGCAUUUUAUAUCAUGGUGGUACUUGAUGUGGCGUUUAGAAAAUGAUGAUUGUAUCUUAGUAGGGUUUGGAAAUCACUUGAUAACUUGUUGGUGCUGAUAUUCAUGAUCCCUGUUCCCCAGAUGCAAUUGUAUGUGUUUAUGGAGGAGUUCUGACUGGCGAAUUACAUUUGAUAUGUUUUGCUGAUCAUGAGCUCUUAGUUAAGAGAAUAAUCAAAGAAUCAAAUGAUUCUGUGUGUACAUACAUUCCCUCACCCCAAACCAAAAAAAAAAAAAAAAUUAGAAAAGGAUCUUUGAGCAUUUCCACAUUUCUUGUAUGUUCAAAGAAUUUUUUUUUUUCCUGAUAAACACGCUUGCUAUUUUCUUUGGAAGAACAUCAAGCCUUAUCUUCCCCUGUUCCCUAUAUGAUCAUGUCAGCAAAAAAAAAAAAAAAAUUCCCCUUACUAUGCUCACCUACCAAUAAAUUUUCAACAGUUUUCUUGCUAAACAUUCUUACAUUCUGAAGUUGAUGAUUAUACUUUUAUGUCCCAAGUCCCAACUAACAAAAGGAGGAUGGUUUCUAUGAUAACGAAACCGAAGGGAGGAAUCUCCGGUUAUAUUAUCAGAUUUCUUUUUUAGAAAAUAAGAAUACAAUAGUAAUAUGCCAAUUUCGAGGUGUAUUUGAGGUCCUUUUUAAUUCUAGUAUCUGUAAUAAAUUUCAUCUUCCCCGGCCCUUUCUUUUUCAGAAGAAAUGGCAGAGCAUCAUCGGUAAACCUAUACACUCAGGUACUCUACCCUUUACAACAAUUUUGAUAUUUGAGAUCGUCUCAUCUCAAGCAACACAUUAGAGAUUAAAUAUACGUGAAAAAAAUCUCAGUAGGGUGCUCACUGGAGAUAAUCCACCAACUUGAACCGCAAAUGAAAGGAAGUGGGGAGGGUGACGGGUUCCGUCAUCAUCGUGGCCAAUGCUGGGUGGCGCCAUCCGCCGGAUGGUUGCAGCGGCGACGGCAUCCUCUCCUCACCCCCAUCUUCAACAUCAGCUUUGUCCUCCUUUGCCGCUCUCUCCUUGGCGAAUGGAAAUGGAGUGGGAGAAAGGAUGAGCGGUGACAGCAAAGGGAUCGGAGCGCAAGAAGAAGGAAUGUUUUCCCAAGGGAAGGACUUGUUGGUGGGAGGCUUGAGCUGGAGGGACGUCGGGGCCUGCUUCUGUAGCCUGCUUGGAGGCUUCCUGGCGUCCUUCAAUCUCGUCGAUUCGUCUCCUCGUGGGAUUUUUCUUUCCAUGAUGGCAGCUUCUAGCUUCUCCGAUAUCUAGAAGGUACAAGUCGUUUGCGAGUUUUAUAACAAAAGGAGGGGGGGUUGGAAUUUGGCUUGGAGGGAGGAAGGUAGUCAGCCUCCUAUUCUUGCGGCUGUGGUCGUGAGAAAAGAACUCCAUAAUGUGAGGCAAAGAGAACGGUUAGUUGUUGAAAUGUAAACGACUUUAAUAACUGUAUUCAAAUCAAAACGGUGGCUAGGCUCCUCCUCACGCCACCCAUGUCCAUAUCCUCAGAUGAUGUGCAGCAUAUCUAAUGCUACGUUCAUGUUAGAUUAAACUGUCCGAUGUUAUAUUCUAUAACUUGCUUUGAUAAGGCAUAAAUUUUGCAUAACCGAUUUUGAUGCCCGCGUAUUGCGGCUGUGUCAAGCUACAACGCAAUGUAGAUGGAAAAUAUCGUUAAAAUAUUGCAACAUAUUGCGAUUUAAUUAUAUGCAACUGGCACAGCAAAAAGUAAUCUUUCUGUUCUUAUGACCAAGAAUCAAAAUUGCCGACAAACAAUAGAACAAAAUGCUUCAGGAUGUUGAUUUUGUGCAUAUGAGAGUUAAGCUCACAAAGAUUUGAGGGUUAACUCAGCAUUCAACCAUCCUGCUGUUAAUGGAACUGGUCCUCUCCUUCCCGUGCUAGAGAACUUCUUCGAGCUUGCAAGGAGCGGCAUGGAAUUGCUCCAAUAAAAUUGCGACACAUCAACUGUUUUCUAUCCAGCUCAGAACUACUCUCAUACGAGGAGGCGCGGGCCCCGGUGGGCAGUUGCCUUCUUGGUAACAGAAAGUGAGUGCGGUUUCCUCGUUCCUUUUAUUUUUCCCCGGUGAGCUUUUAUUUUGGCCCUUUCUUCUCCCGCGUCUCUGCUCCCAUCUGUACCGGUACCCGCCACCACCAUCGCCGCCCUGAUUCGCGACCUUCUCCGGCCGUCAAGAAGAGGAAAACCUUCAGAUCGACCCAAAUACUUCUCCUCUGUGCGCCCAGAUCCAUCUCGCAUCUCAGAACGGGAUAAUGGGUUCGGUACAUGGGUGUGGGUCAGCAAGAUCAAAAGAACUAAAGAUUAGAAAUAUCUGGCAGUUCUAAUUAAGCAGUCCCUUAAACUCCACAUUCAUCCCAUUCUCCUUCUGAAAUCAAUUGACAUGGGGUCCAUAUCUCGCCUCUUUAACCAUUUCAUUGCGAGUACUUUUCUUAACAUAAUCUUUUUGUUUAGUUGACUUCGUGAAUGAGCCCCCUUUGUUGUUUGUGUGCAUUUAUGGCAUGAGGCUUGUUUGAUUGUUAUGUCAGAACGACAUGACAUAUCACUGUUCUAGUAUCAUUCUCAGAGAUGAUAUUACUAUUAGUCAUGCAUUUAAGUAGUUUUUGUACCAUUGAUUUUCCAAAAUGACUAAUUCACCAGUGUAUUUUAUGUUGCAAGGCAUAAGAAUCGCCUGCCAUGAAUUUGCUAUUAAUUAUUAUCUUUUAGUUUAGCCUCCUACAGAAAAUUUCUCUUAGUAUCGUGGAUGUAUUAUACCAUAGAUCGGUGAGAUAAAAUGACAUCUGGUAGAAAUAGAACUGCAUGGACAAAGUGAAAAUGUGCUUUUGGUGUUUAUGUGACGAGAAGGUUCAAUGCUUGAGAAAUUUGUGUAUUAGGAAAGACACUAAUGUGUUAAAUUUAGUGAUACGUGGUAGAUAAAUCACUUAAUCUAUAGUGAGUUAUUUGAAGUGGCCUUCUAGGAGUGGCUUUCUAUGUAAGUGCUUUCAGGAGAAAGGGACGGAAAUCUACAGAGACAAUCCUGUAAGUCACGAGAAAGGAUUUGAAAGACAAAUGUUAGUCUAUUAUAUGAAUGAACAGUGAAGAACGAUUUACAAAACUUAGAUAAUUCAGGUAAAAAGCUUUCUAUGGCUAUAUUUUUCCUUGCUCCCUUCAACAAAGAAAAAACAAGGGUUUGUCUUUCUGGAACGGAACAAUCAAAUUGAUGAAUGAGUUCAUUGGUUACAGUUAUAUGUUUUCCCUUUCUCCCUCUUCUUAUAAGUGAAGCCUUUUUUUGCAAGUAUUAGUCAUAGAAUUUCUUAUUCUAGCAGUAUAGUAUUGCUUUGUCUUGAUAGAAUUAAUUUCGGACAUGAAAACUGGGAACCGAACUAUCAGGUCCUUUAUAUGUUGAAGUGCCUGAAAGAGCCUUUUUUUGGAGAUUGACAUGUGCUUGCUCUUGAAGCUGCAAAACCUUCGAGUUGGCAAUGAGGAGAACAAGUUCAUACUCCUCUGUGCACAUGUUUAGGAGAUUUAUAAACAGCAACAUAUUUUGGAUGCUCAGGUGCUAUUGAAAGCUGUGGCAUUACUCUUUUGCUUGAUUUAAUUAAUUUCCUUUUCUUUCAGGUUCUAUGAGCUUUAGUAUUGCUGUUCUGGCCCUUUCAAUGGGACACUCAGCUUUGAUCCUGUCUAAGCAGCAGUGGAAGCAAUGGGUUUAAAGCACUAAUCUAAAUCUCUGGCUGAGGAGAUACUAGUUUUCUCAGGCUCAAAGUUACUUAAGCUGGCAAGUUCGAUAUGAAAAAAAUAGAUCUAUGUACCAUAUAUCCAACAUAUGAUGAUUAUUUUCUGGGUUAGGCUUUUCCCACUGGUAAAGUGCCUGAACUGCAUAAAUUCAAGCAAUAUUUUUGGAGGUUUCUUAAACAAUCUCAUGGCUUGGGAUUCCAGGUUUCAUUUCCAAUACUAUUUCUAAAAUGUUAGGAUUAUCCCUUGCCAGUUGCCACAUGGCUGAGCAUGAAUCACUGAACCAAUGUUGCUUGUCUCAUUACCCAGGCUUCUCUUGUAAGAGGUCUAUAGUCUCACUGGCCAGAAUUUGUUAUAAAGAUUCUGUAAUCAAUGUCAUGCAAUUGUUUGUUUGUAUCCAGUGCGGUGACUUUGUUUCUGGUGCAGUAUUUAUUUAACACUUUGUGUUAUAUAUGAAAACUUUUCUGGUUGUUAUAUUUAAAUGUAAUUGCUCAUGCUGAGUUUAUUCCACAUAUCAACUAUGAGAAAGGUUUAGUAGCUAGAUCUUGAUGGAAUUGGAAAUUGCUUCAACUAUAAUUAUACUUGCUCAUGCAGCGUUUAUUCCACAUUGUGAUCAUGAGAAGGGAUUGGUAGCUUGAUCUGAUGAUGGAUGGAAAUUGCUUCAACUAUAAUAAAUGGCCAUGGAAGAAUUUGUUUGGCAGAGCCGUAGCAUCUGGGAUGUAUGUUAGUCUGACUCUUUCUGUGGCCAUUGCUUUGGAGCUUUAAUUUCUGCUGCUUUGUGUUAGAGCCCAUGUGGUGCUGCCAACGAUUAGAUGGGCGGUGGGUGAUGGACGUUCCAUUGAUGUACUUGAGGAUAUUUGGGUGACGGAUUUUCCUAUCAGUCGUUUGUCGACGUUGGUGGAUACGGACAGAUUACAGGGGCUUAGGGUCUGCGAUCUGAUUGUUCCGGGUGAGGGAUGGUGGCAUGAGAGUCUGAUUCGGGAGGCGUUUGGAGAGCAGUUAGCGGCGAGAGUUUUGGCCUUACCUGUUCCAUCACUGGAGGGGCCCGACAGAUUGAUAUGGGAGCCGACCGGCAGAUCGAGGGUUCGUGCCAGGGAUCUUCACUCUUGGAUAAGUAGGGUGCCAGACAGACAGAUCGAUGCGGGUUGGAGGCUGAGGUUGCAUCCUCGUGUGGCGCUUUUCCUCUGGAAGGUAUCCUGGGGCUGCCUUCCGACUAGGUGCGUUCUAGUUAGGAGGGAUGUAAGGAUAACCCAGUAUUACGAGGUAUGUCCGGAUCUCGAGGAGUCCAUACAUCAUGUCUUACUCCGAUAUCCUAGGGCGGUACAGAUCUGGAGCUGUUUAUCUGCAGCCCUACCCUCGAGGUGGGAGUCAGUGGUGGAUUUGUUACAAUUCUUGAGGGACUCCACCAGGAGAUCUAGCACAGCCAUGUUUGGGGUUGCAGUUGCCUAUCUGGCCUAUCAUAUAUGGCUGGAUAGGAAUGGACGGCUGUUCGAGGGGAGAGGGUUGCACCCGAGGAUUGUUAUGGAUAGAGCUAUGGCCCAGGCAGCGGAGGUCUGUUUGGUGACUCCAUCGACGUCAUCUGAGUUGGCUAGGGACAUUUGGGGUACCUCUUCUGCUGUUUCAGCGCCUAGGUAUGCUUCUCUUUUCUGGGUACCCCCACCCCCUGGUUUUCUUAAGUUGAAUUUUGAUGGUGGUAUGGCGAUGGAUAGAGCUUCGGGAGGAGUUGGCUUUGUUAUUAGGGACCAGUAUGGCAGAUUGAUUGCAGCUGGUGGUCGGAGCACUCCAGGCUUGACUGUCAUUGGGGCGGAGCUACGAGCUGCUUGGGAGGGUAUCCGGUAUGCGAGAUGUGUGCUGGGUGUUGAUAGACUGUGCAUUAAGGGCGACUCUGCCACGGUGAUUGACUGGAUACGGGGGGCGGAUAGAUAUGGUGACGGCCACCCAUUGAUUCGAGAUACCCGCAGACUAGUUCAGGAGAUGCUAGCUGUCCAGAUUGGUCAUGUGUAUCGUGAGGUAAACAGAGCUGCGGACUGGGUAGCCUCAUAUGUGGCUCGCCACGAUGGGGACGUCAUCUGGACGAGUCUAGCUGGUGUUCCCCAUUUAUUGCUCUGUUUACUUUUCUCUGAUUUAGCAGGAUGUACUUUUUGAUUUAGUGGAAAUGGAUUGCCGUUUUACCAAAAAAAAAAAACUCAUCUGAUUUGAGAGAUCCAUGCUGCGAUUUGUGUUUACCAAAAUGACAGCAGUUUGUGCAGUCGAAAUAACCAUUUUCUAGCUCUUCCAUAUUUUGAAUUCAAUCAGUUCAUAGAUAUGGUUCCUCCCUGCUCUUAGUGGAGAUGAAUGCGGUCAACUGGUGCAGUGAGGAGGGCCGUAGCGCAAGUAGCUCAAUAAGAUGAGAGUUGAUGGGAGAACCCAUGAGACGAACACAUUGAUAAUAGGAAUGCAUGUAUGAACUCGGGCGAAAAAUUCUCACUUUUAAGGAGGACACGGAGCUAGAAACUGCAUGUAUUUACCCUUAAUCUUUGGUAUAUAUGUGAGCACAUUAGCUUGUUUAUAUCAAUUAAAAAGUAUCUCUUCCAUUAUUGUAUCUCGAAAAAAAUGGUGAUCUUUCUUUCUUUUGAUAUGACUGGAUGUACUCGUGUUGGAUCUAUAUGAAUUGCCGUAUUUACUAAAAAAAAAUGAUUUAUAUGUUUUUUUGGGGUAUGCACUCUUGGCCUACAUGGUGGCAGUAAUCUUUAGUGUUUAUCCAAAAAUGAUUGCGCUCACAUUUUUUUGGAGCAUGCAUGCGUACGUAUGCCCACAUACACCACAUACACACAAAAAAAAAGAAAAAAAAGAAAAAAAAGAAGAAAAAGAUGGCAGCCCAGUUCAGAUUAGAAUGAAAAAAUAAAAAGAUCUGAACACACGCAGCAAAAAAAUGGAAUCAUAAUUUGGAGAAAAAGGCUAUUUUACCUGGCUAAGAAACACCUAAAGAAUGGAUUGGUGGUGAAGAUAUUUCCUAGCACCAAAACCACCCCUUUGCCCCAGCCAAGGUCCCACCUGCAGGGACGCCAGUUUGGACGCAACUUAUCGGACCUGCAACAAUAGGCUCCGAAGCUGCCACGCGUCGCCUUGCCUAAUCUCCAGCGUGUGGCCCUCAGGGUUUGGACAGCCGCUCCACAGGAGCCCAAGCGAUGGAAAUUUCAGAACUUCCCCUCACCACACCACUACCUAAAAAAACCAGAGCCAAAUAUUCUUCUUAUAUAUACAAGCCUCCUCCCUUGCUCAACCUCGAGCAAACCAGUGGCAGACCUCUCCCUGGUUGAGAUCAGAGCUCUCGUCCUCCACUUCCGUCCCUCGGCUCCCAGAUGGCCACUGCUGUCUCGACCGUUGGAGCUGUUAACAGAGUACCGGUACUGCCUAUUUAAUUAGACUUAACCUUGCAUGCAGAUGAUUUCUGUCGUUAACUUCUUGUAUUGAGUAGUUUUGGUAUUCUUGGUGCAGCUGAGCUUGCAUGGCUCUGGCUCGGGAGCUUCGGUUCCGAGCUCGGCCUUCUUCGGGAGCAGCUUGAAGAAGGUGAGCUCUAGCUUGAGCCAUGGGAAGGUUUCCACCGGCACUUUCAAGGUCUUGGCUGCCGACCUCGAUGAGUCGAAGCAGACCGAGAAGGACAAAUGGGCUGGGCUUGCAUUCGAUGAAUCCGACGACCAGCAAGAUAUCACCAGAGGGAAGGGUUUGGUUGAUUCCCUCUUCCAAGCUCCCAUGGGUGAUGGCACCCACAUCCCCGUCAUGAGCUCCUAUGAGUACAUCAGCCAGGGUCUUCGCCAGUAAGGGAACUGAAAGAGCUCUAGUUCUAUAUUUUAGAUGCUGCGUGGUUCAUUAAUGUAUAGGAGUGGAAUACUUAUCUGAUCUUGGUAUUAUGGUUUUCCAGGUACAACUUGGACAACACCGUGGAUGGGUUCUACAUAGCCCCAGCUUUCAUGGACAAGCUUGUGGUUCACAUCAGCAAGAACUUCAUGGACCUGCCUGGCAUUAAGGUAUCACCAAACAGCUAAUUUGACAGGUUAAUUUAUGUUUCGGUUGCUGUUGGUUGGACCUAAAUGUUUUUGGUGGUGGCUUUUGGACAGAUUCCCCUCAUCUUGGGUAUCUGGGGUGGCAAGGGUCAAGGGAAAUCUUUCCAAUGCGAACUCGUCUUUGCCAAGAUGGGGAUCAAGUGAGUCUUUCUUCCUGCUUAUGUUCUGCCCCUGUGCAUCUAUUUGCUUUUCUUUCCGCCUCUUUCGAUAAGUGCUUGGCAUUGGUCUUCCAAGAUCCGUCGAUUGCUCUUUUUAUAUGAAUUGGAAGACUGUUUCUGUGAUUCUAGUUUGAGUUACAGGUUGCAAGAAAUUAGAAUUUUAUUUCCUGUUUCUGGACCUUUGUUCUAAUGAUUUCUGCACAGUAGAAAUGUGCGAAGUAUGAUUUCAUAAAUCUAUUAAACUAAUUAUAGAGAUCAAUCAACUAGUCGCUUGGUUUAGUCAUGAUGCUGAAGCUGGGUGGUAACUCUGUUUUGCAUCUAUAGUAUCUUCACUCGAUGAUAGCACCGAACAAAAUCUACAGAUAUUCUCUUUGAGGUAAGUUCAUUAAUCUUUGAUUCCAGUUCCUUGUAACAUCAGAUGUCUUAUUUCUCUAACCUGUGUUGCCUUCUAAUUUUUCUUCAAUUAUCAUACUAUCAUCUGGUCCUAUACCGUCCUAUCCAUUUUAAUUUAAAUUCUAGCACAGAGAAUCUGGGAACCAUCUAGGAUCUCUUUGUAUCAGGCAGAAAAUUUCUACCUGAUCCAGGUUCUGGUUUCUCUAAUUGCCCGACCAGAUGAAGCAUUUACAGUCAGAACUCGAGAUCCCACUAAAUUGUGCCCUUUGAUUCCCAUCUCCUUCGAUCAAGGUCGAAGUUAUCCCUCUGCUUGGUCAUUCAUCAUCUCCUCGAGCAAUCAGAGGACAGGAUGCAGCUAGUUCUUCAAGUUGCUCGAUGACCAACAACAUGAUCUAUUAGACUCUCACAUGAUUCUCUCCUUCAAUUGCUGAAUUAUAAUAUAGAUUCAAGUUCAUGCUUGACAUCACACCACUCAAUGCAUUCCCACAUAUAAGACUUUCACUGGAUAUUGCCUUGCUCUCUGCGCCGUGGAAUUGCUGGUUCCCAGCAUGCAAAAUUCAAACGUGGAGAGGGGGAAAAACCAGGACUCAAAUAACCAACCCACUCAUCGGUUUGGAGAGCAAGUGCAAUGCAUGCAUGCAUGCAUGUAUUGCAUGGUGAAUGAAUUCCUUUCUGAUAUCUUCAUCUGUGGAAACAUCUUCCUCUAUAGAAUCGAGUCAAUGCUCCCUAAUGCUUAUCUUAUGGUGGUUGCUGCUUUCCAUUCACAAUAUUUAUCCGGAUGUUCGCUUCUUCUUCCAUUCAGCCCUGUCAUGAUGAGCGCUGGAGAAUUGGAGAGUGGGAAUGCAGGAGAGCCUGCAAAGUUGAUCAGGCAAAGAUACCGCGAGGCGGCAGACAUCAUUAGAAAGGGGAAGAUGUGCUGCCUCUUCAUCAAUGAUCUUGAUGCAGGAGCAGGAAGGAUGGGUGGCACCACCCAGUAUACUGUCAACAAUCAGAUGGUGAACGCUACCCUUAUGAACAUCGCCGAUAACCCAACCAAUGUGCAGCUCCCUGGCAUGUACAACAAGCAGGAGAAUCCUCGCGUCCCCAUUAUAGUUACUGGGAACGACUUCUCCACCCUGUAUGCCCCUCUCAUUCGUGAUGGUCGUAUGGAAAAAUUCUACUGGGCGCCAACCAGAGAGGACCGUAUCGGCGUUUGCCAGGGUAUAUUCAGGACCGACAACAUUCCCAAGGAAGAUGUCAUCAAGCUUGUCGAUGCCUUCCCAGGCCAGUCCAUUGGUAAGCCCCUUGAAAACCAUCAUAUCUCAAUAAACUACACACUAAUCUUCUUGAACACGUUGGGAGGAAUAACUCUUCUUCACUGCACUGAAAUGGUAGAAUCAUGAUAAGAAUGAUGGAUGGUUGCUCUCUUUGUAUGCAGACUUCUUCGGUGCCCUCCGGGCCAGAGUCUAUGAUGAUGAAGUGAGGAAGUGGAUUUCAGAGAUUGGAAUUGAUAAGGUUGGAAAGAGGCUUGUUAACUCGCGUGAAGGAGCACCAACAUUUGAGCAGCCUACGAUGACCCUGGACACGCUCAUGGAGUACGGUAAGAUGCUGGUGAUGGAGCAGGAUAAUGUGAAGAGGGUGCAGCUGGCGGACAAGUACAUGAGCGAGGCUGCGCUUGGAGAUGCCAAUCAGGAUGCCAUGAAGACUGGAAAUUACUAUGGUUAGCACUCUAAUCCUAGGGGCCUUGAUGGGAGGUUUGCAUCUCGCUUCUAGAUCGACUAGUCCUUCCUGAAGGCUAACAAAGCCUUUUCUUGUUUCCCUAAUAUACACAGGCAGCAAAUAAGAUUGGGCUUUUCGCUUAUCUGUUUGUUACCUGGGUGCAGGCCAAGCAGCCCAACAAGUCCAUGUGCCAGUUCCAGAAGGCUGCACCGAUCCAUCUGCUAAAAAUUACGAUCCUACGGCUAGGAGCGAUGAUGGAAGCUGCGUAUAUACACUUUAAGCUUUGUGAUUGACGGGAAGCCUGGCAAAUAAUCUUUUUUUAUUAUAUAUAUAUAUAAGCAAUGACUUAAUGGAGUAAUCGUAUUAGAACUUUAUGUACCUAUGCUAUACUUGUGUGUACUUUCUUUCAUUUAUAAAUGGGUUUUCUUUUAUGAUUGACUGAUUUGCUGCGACUAGAUAAGAUGGUAACGUGAAGGGCCAUUCAAGCUCUCUAUGAAAUAUGUGGCAAUCGUAGGAUCGGACUUGGAGCGUCGAUGGGAGCUGUUUGGAUGCAUUAUAAGACAUGAGCAUGGUCAUGUGAUCGGUGGAACACAGAUCUCAAAGUAACAAUUGCGCAAUCAGAUGGUGGUCUCGUGCGAAGGAAGGUGGAUCCUUCUUGCGUGCGAAAGCUAUACAAAACACUUGCGUGGUUUGGAGUUUAGUUUUGUCAGGGCCGGCCUAGGCUGAGGCGGUCGCCUAAGGCUCUGGUCCAAAGAAAGUCCACUUUAGAAAGGCCUCAAGGACAAAACAGAAAGAAAAAUGCUCUCUUUAGUGAGUUCGCCUUAGGCCACCCCACUGUAGGAAAGGUCUUAAAUACAAAAUAAAAGAAAAAAUACUCCUUUUAAUGAGUUCGCCUUAGGCUCUCAAAUGCAUUGAACCGCUCCUGAGUCCCGUGAUCACAUAAUCUUGCAAGGCGAAAGCCUCCUACCAUUCUCUCAAGUUCUGCAUGUGCUAGAAUGUUGCCGCCCUUGAUGUCUCUAUUUAUUGACAACUUGCUCCCAUUCCUCGUACAAGUAGAAAGCUUAGAUGCCACAUUCUUGAUUAUUUGAAAGCGUAGAACAGCACACUAUCUGAAAUAGAUCAAUUGUGCUGGCCUACAAUCCAGAGCAAACAACAAACAUAACAAAAAAAUAAAAAUAUAAAUUUGCAGAAAAUUUUGAGAAGAAAAUAAGUGGAAGAAAAAAAAUGAAAGAGAAAAAUAAAUUUAUUCAAAAAAAGCCAAAAUAAAUAGUUUUCUCAUAAAAAAAAGACUCACCCCUCCAAUGCCUUUCUCAACCGCCAAAAAGAAUUUGUUCACUUAGCUCGUUCUCCAUAUUUAUAAAAGCACACUCUCUCUUCCCCGAAAGAAAGAAAUAUAUUGAGUCUUAAAAGUAACACUAGAAAGUAAACUAUUCCAACUAGAAUUGGAAUAGAAAACAAAGAUAUAAAUAGAACAAGCAGUAUACUUCAACAAAAACUUUGAACCUAGUCAAGCAUAGAUUGGGGUCGAUCAAACUGAACAUGUCGAGGCUGCCAUUAAGCAUGAAGUCAUAGUCCAGUCAGAGCUCUCCGUUUGGCGGGCAACAAGACAAGGAGCUGCACCAAGUUCUUGCGACGGAGCCGACCCCCAUGCUUAUAAUUUUUGCAAUAAACUCUCUCUCUCUCUCUCUCAUCCCUUGUCUUCAUUCCCAUGAGACUUUCUUCACUGCGACUUGGUUAUUGCUGAUGGGCAGCAAACCUUUGCAGACCAUGCCAAACCUCCACCUGGGCCAGCCCGGUCCAAUAGUGAAAACCCCUAAGCUCCCAUAGCUCCCUUGACGACUAUGGUGCUCCUGUCCCUUUUGUUGGGCCUCGUCGUGAAUAGCCGGCCGACAAACUUGGUGCCACUCCCGAAGUAUUCCUUGGAAGUAAACGUCCGAAGAAAAAAAGAAAGAAAGAAAGAAAACGAGAACAUCUAUGAAGUCUUUGCCACCCAUUCUCCACAGAGCCAUCUACAAGACUGCAACACUUCCUGAUGAAUAGAUCACCAAUAAUUUCUUCUGUUUUCUUCCACCUCUUCUUCAUCCUCUUUGCAAUGGCGGAGCAGAACAAGGAAUUUCGGCAUCCCCAAGAUGAUAAACCACCCCAUCCAGCAAAGUGAGUUGCUUAGUAUUUCUUACUUAUUUUUACUCUCUUAUGUGUCUCCUUCUAUCAAUCGUAUUCUAAAAUAACAGUUAUCUAUUUGUCAUGCGCUACCAAAUGUAAUGUAGAAGUCUCUCACACAUUACUUUUUUUCGAUGUCCUCUUCCAACUUUUAUAUAUGGGCCGAUCAAAUGGAUAAACCUAGUUCAUUAUUAGCUGAGUUGAAUGUUACACAAUAAUACAUAAAAUACGAACACAAAUAAAAAAAAAUGCAGAACUAAAAUGAACAUACUUUGGCCUGAAUUGAGGUUUUCAAGAAAUAACAACACCUCUCAACAAUAUUGUAAUAAAUGCAAAAAGGAAGGGAAAAGAAAUAGGAGAGAAGGCAAGAAGGAAGAGAAAAUACCUUGAGCCGGGAUAAAGAGGUUUCUGCGAGUGGAGUGAUCGAUCGAACGUAUUGCCGAUUUUACGAAAGCAGGAAACUGGAAUGCGGGAUUGGAGAGGGCCCGUGGAGGUCCAAUUCCGGUUCAAGCCUUGGGUCCGUGUCCAUCGUAAUAAGGGCCCCGAUCUAAUGGAUAGGCCCGGUCCGCAUAACUCAAAAUAUUAUGACACGUCACACCCAUAUGUAUGGGAUGACGAGUGAUGAGAAAUGGACACACCAUCUGCCACCGAAUUAUUUAUUUGUCUUUCUUGUAAGUUUGUCGACCGUGAAAGAGACAAGAAGGAAGAAAGUCAUCAUACGAUUGUAAAACCUGUCCACAUGCAUAAUUAGGUCCGCUUAAUUUUCUAUAGAGACAGCGGUAAAUGAAUGGCUAUGCUGCCUUUGAAGAGGUUGUUUUAAUAUUAAAAAAAAACCUUUGAUUUGUAAGUAAUUGCCUACAUAAUAGGAUAACCCUCCCUCAAAUACUCUUAACCCCAUAACCUUGAUCAAGGUAGGAUAUUAUAUCAUGGACCUAUUUUACCAUAAUUAGUAGUAAGGCUUUCUUUUCCCUUUUAAUUUAUAAGUGGGAUGUUGCUAAUUGAACUUCUUCAUGAAAAUUUACUCCUUUUGUUUUUUCAAUGAUGCCAAUUAAACAUUGCUAUGUAACUUAUCCUUUGGUUCUCUUACUCAAGCUAGCUUUCUCUUUACCUCAAUCCACUAUAGAUUUUAGAGGUCCAUCUUAAUUCUCAUCUCCUCGAGUAAAGUGCCAGGUUUAGACAUACAGAACCAUUCAAUGAAGCAUUUCACCCCAAGUGCUUGUUUGAUUGCAGAAUUGCAUGCCAUUGUCAUAUGCUCUUUUAAUUUCUACCAGAAAGCCGAAUGUGCUCUUGCUUGGGGCAUGUGUCCUGGAGCCUAGUUAGCAUUACUCUUCCGAAGUUCAUAAAACAAGAUGACCAUCCAAUUGGAAUUCUUUUCUUCUAAUAAUAUUGAAAUCGUUUUCACCAGAAAAAAUAAAUAAAUUGAAUUCAUGUCUUAAGUCAAUGAAGUGUAUGAACUUAUCAUACUUUUGAACUAGGGUCAUGUCUAUCAUAAUUUUUCUAUUUUGGUAUUCUCAGUACCUAUCUAUAGGAAUCAUGCCUCUCGUAGAUUACUAAUAUAUAUGUUCUCUAUCCUCAGUAGCUAUCUGUACGUAGUCCAAAUAUAUAAAAAAAAAGACGUCGUCGUCUCUUGAAGUUGAUUGGCCUCCUGUACUUUGCAUCUGAGCUGCUAACUUGUGGCAGCCUGUCUAUAUGAUAAGACCGGAUUUAAUGCGAGUCUUGCCCAAUUUCAGUGCAGCUCUUUGGUUAUUCUUCGCAACAGUCUCAGCACUUAUUGGUGGUUGAGGAGAAUCUAUCCUUAUAGAAUCCAAUCCACCGGAUAACUCCCACCUGAAAAUAGUUGAACAAAAGAUACCCUCCUCCCCAUACCGUAUCUAAGCUUGGAUGCAGCCCUUCUGGCCGAAAGCGAGAAAAACCCAUCCCUUUCUUUCAUUUUUAUUUUGUACCUCCAUAUCCCGCCUGUGUGACACGGUCUAGGGACGUCGAAACAAAAAAAAAAAAAAAUCCUAUCAACUAACUUAGUCCUUAUAUUUAUCUAUCUGGCCAUGAGAUAGAUUAGCAGCUACUCUCUUGGACGUAGAAAUAAUUGUGUCAUUCGUAUACUUGUGGUGGUUUCGAUUAUAUCGUACAACAAUUCUCUCUCUCUCCAAAAAUAUAUUAAAAAAAAAGCUUGUGCAUCGAUAUAUG